rnacentral:rRNA from 1 species
GCCAGAGACCGAUAGCGCACAAGUAGAGUGAUCGAAACGAUGAAAAGCACUUUGAGAAAGAGGGUUAAACAGCACCGUGAAAUUGUUAAAAGGGAAGCGCUUGUGACUCAGACUUGCGUCCGGUGAAUCACCCAGCUCUCGCGGCUGGGGCACUUCGCCGGCUCAGGCCAGUCAUCAGCUCGCUGUCGGGACAAAAGCUUCAGGAACGUAUGCUCUCUUCGGGGAGUGUUAUAGCCUGUUGCAUAAUACCCUUCGGCGGGUGAGGUACGCGCUCCGCAAGGAUGUGGCAUAAUGUCCAUCAGCGACCCGUCUUGAAACACGGACC